rnacentral:rRNA from 1 species
GAUGAACGCUGGCGGCGUGCUUAACACAUGCAAGUCGAACGGAAAGGCCCAAGCUUGCUUGGGUACUCGAGUGGCGAACGGGUGAGUAACACGUGGGUGAUCUGCCUUGCACUUCGGGAUAAGCCUGGGAAACUGGGUCUAAUACUGGAUAGGACCACUUCUUGGAUGUUGUGGUGGAAAGUUUUUUCGGUGUGGGAUGAGCUCGCGGCCUAUCAGCUUGUUGGUGGGGUAAUGGCCUACCAAGGCGUCGACGGGUAGCCGGCCUGAGAGGGUGUACGGCCACAUUGGGACUGAGAUACGGCCCAGACUCCUACGGGAGGCAGCAGUGGGGAAUAUUGCACAAUGGGCGCAAGCCUGAUGCAGCGACGCCGCGUGGGGGAUGACGGCCUUCGGGUUGUAAACUCCUUUCGCUAGGGACGAAGCGUUUUGUGACGGUACCUGGAGAAGAAGCACCGGCUAACUACGUG